UGGAGAGUUUGAUCCUGGCUCAGGACGAACGCUGGCGGCGUGCUUAACACAUGCAAGUCGAACGGAAAGGCCCUUCGGGGUACUCGAGUGGCGAACGGGUGAGUAACACGUGGGUGAUCUGCCCUGCACUUUGGGAUAAGCCUGGGAAACUGGGUCUAAUACCGGAUAGGACCACGGCAUUCAUGUGCUGUGGUGGAAAGCUUUUGCGGUGUGGGAUGGGCCCGCGGCCUAUCAGCUUGUUGGUGGGGUAAUGGCCUACCAAGGCGACGACGGGUAGCCGGCCUGAGAGGGUGACCGGCCACACUGGGACUGAGAUACGGCCCAGACUCCUACGGGAGGCAGCAGUGGGGAAUAUUGCACAAUGGGCGCAAGCCUGAUGCAGCGACGCCGCGUGAGGGAUGACGGCCUUCGGGUUGUAAACCUCUUUCGCCAGGGACGAAGACGCAAGUGACGGUACCUGGAGAAGAAGCACCGGCCAACUACGUGCCAGCAGCCGCGGUA
rnacentral:rRNA from 1 species